GUCGAUUCUUACGCCACAUACGAUCGUUGGGUGACUACAGGAAAAGAUAUUUCAAGUAUUUCUUAGAAGGAGUAGUAGAAGGAACUUCUGAUUGGCUGUGACAAGCAAAAUGAGAGAAUACACACUGAACUGAUGUUUCGUCAGGACUGGUGCGAAGUCAACACCACGUCUUGCUCAGAGUGUGGCAUACGUGUUUGUCAUCGUAUCAACUACGCAUCUUUAGAGCAAAACCACUGCAGUAAGCCCUCCAAGUCAAGAAUGCUCCUUUAAGACACUACUUCGAUAUACAUACGUUGUCAAAGAA